rnacentral:tRNA from 2 species
GGGGAGAUUCCAGAGCGGCCAAAUGGGACUGACUGUAACUCAGUUGUUUCGACUUCGCAGGUUCGAAUCCUGCUCUCCCCA